GGCAAAGUGAGAAAAAAAUCAACAUAACAAAAGAUAAGUCCAGGCUUCCUCAGGCUUGUACAGUCCAACAGGAGGG